GAGACAGCUCUGACAGCCUCUCUUCAUCCACAGCAUAGGUCUAGCACAACAAACUUCCCCACCAAGCCUGAUCCAGGUGGACUACUUCUCAAGGUGAAAAAAGGGUAAUUAACUCUCAAUGCCCAUUCAAUCCUUGGCUGCU
rnacentral:sRNA from 1 species